UACGUAGGUGACAAGCGUUGUCCGGAUUUACUGGGCGUAAAGAGCGCGCAGGCGGUCGAUCAAGUCGAGUGUGAAAGCCCCCGGCUCAACUGGGGAGGGUCAUUCGAUACUGAUCGACUCGAAGGCAGGAGAGGGUAGUGGAAUUCCCGGUGUAGUGGUGAAAUGCGUAGAUAUCGGAGGAACACCAGUGGCGAAGGCGGACUGACCUGGC
rnacentral:rRNA from 1 species